CUCUUAUAGAAAAUAAUUUUAAGUCAAAUCUGCCCAAUGAAAAAUUUAAUGGCUGCAGUAUCAAUAACUGUACAAAGGUAGCAUAAUAAAUAGUUUUUUAAUUAAAAACUAGAAUGAAUGAUUUAAUGAAAUAUAAACUAUAUAAAAAUAAUUAAAAUUUAAAAUUAAAUUUUAAGUAAAAAUUCUUAAAUUUAAUUAAUAGACGAUAAGACCCUAUAGAAUUUUAUAAUAAAAUAUUUUUAAAAAUAAAAUAUUAUUUAAUUGGGGUAAUUUUAAAAUUAAUUAAACUUUUAAUAUAAAAACAUAAAUUAAUGAUUUAAAAAUCCUAAACUUUAGAAUUUUAAAAUAAAUUACC
rnacentral:rRNA from 1 species